GGCCAGUUCAAGCACAGUGGUCUUUGUAAUGAAUUGUCACAACCAGUGACAGGUUUCUUUCUUUCUUCUCCCCGCCCGCUGCCUCACUUGAUUAGCCUGAA
ensembl:Y_RNA Y_RNA Y RNA